UCCCACCAUGAUUCUGAGGCCUUGCCAGCCUUGUGGAAAUAUCUUUCCAACGCAUUAGAAAGAGAAUUCUCAUUUGGCUUCUCUCCAUCUAGUCUGGCUCCAUCAGAGAUCUGACUGUUUUCUUCCUAAAUGACUCUGCUAGAAGGUCACUAUAUAAUCAGCCUGGAGGAUGUCCUGAUUUCAUCUUCAUUUAAUUCUUUUUGAUUGACUACUACACUGGAGUGUUUGUUUAUUCAUCUGAGCAAGAUAUUAAAAGUUCCUUUAAAUAGAUGACAUUUAAAAGGCAUAAAUUGGCUUCUCUGACCACCCUCACCCUUCAACUGUCAGCGUAUCCUCCUCAUUCUUCUUGGAUGCAGGACAAGAGUUCAGCCCCUGCUGAAGGUGAUAAUGAGCACUAAAAUUUUCAGAACCUCAAAAGUGUCCCACUGGGAGAGUGACUUUUCCGAGACUGUCAUGAGUGUCUUUGUCGCUGGGACUUGUGUCUCCUAAUGCUUGUGUGGCAGCAUUUCAUUCAACAUUACUAACCCCUUUUCCUCCUCUGGUCCCUGGGAAAACAUGGACUACCAUGCAAAAGCUGCUACCAAAUGCUGUGGCAUCUUCAAUCACAGUUCCUGCCCACCACAAGGGGGCCAAAUCCCUGAGCCACACCUCUGAAUUGAUAGAUCUUCUAUAGAAGCAUAGAUUGGGCAUCCUUUGCUUAUCUCCAGCUUCUCUGCAUUGCACUGUUUGCUACAUACUGUGAGAAUGACUCAACCUCUUGCACCCUCAAGUUCCUGGCUUUGAGCAGCUACCUUUCCUAAGUGAAAAGUGAGCAUCUGAAAAGCGAUCGCUUGCUUUAGAACUAUGUUAAAGAUGGGUUUCCCUGUGGAGAAUGACUCCAAAACAUGAGAGAUGGUCCAUCUGAAUAAAUCCUUCAGUGAAAUAAAGACCAUGAUAGACAUUG